UUCUCCUCCUUGAAGCAGGUUUAUUUGCCCAAUGCCUGUACCCCCAUUGUAUCUAGGAAGUAACUAACUUGGUUUUGAUUUUUGCAGGCUCAUAGGCAGAAGGAACUUGCCUUGUCUUAGAUGAGACCUUGGACUUGGACUUUUGGGUUAAUGUAGGAAUGAGGGGGAAAUUUGGACAACGGGAAAUAUGCGCACACAGAGAAUGCCAUAUGAACAUGAAGACAGAUAUCAGAGUGAUGCAUCUACAAGCCAAAGAAUGUCAAAGAUGGCAGCACACCACCAGAAGCUAGCAGAGAUGCAAGGAACAGAUUCUCACGGACCUCAGAAGGGAGCAAACUUUUUCACACCUUGACAUUUCUAGCCUCCAGAAAUGUGAGACAAUACAUUUCUUUUCUUUAAGCCACUCAGUUUGUUUUGCAGAUUUACAGCAACCCAAGAAAACUAAUACAAAUAAGUUGUGUUCAUUGAAACAAGUGGUAUACUGUAUAUAUGUCUGAUGAAAAAUAUGAAUGUAAUUCACUGAUACAUUUUGUUCACAAUGGUAAAGACUGUUUUGACCUAGGAGUCUAAAAAUCAAAAACACAACAAUUAAAAGUAAUAAUACUUCUUUUCAUGUUUUCAAAUCAGAUGGCUACUAAAUGUAAGAUGUAGAAGUCGCAUGUUAAAAACUAACUUUCUAUUUAUUGUUUUGAUUUUGGAAAUUAAACAUAAUUAUGCAUUUAAUGUAAAUGUUUUAAUUUGCUGAACGGUAUCAAAUAAUUAGUUAUAUAGAAUUCCCUAACUAUAAUUUUUAGCAAUUAGAUUCCAAGAAUCUAAUUUUCGAAGUAUCUAAUUUUCAAGGAGAUUAUAAAAUAAUGACCAGAUUUAAACACACAGUACCACAUUACAGAAGUCCUUAAAUACAAUAUCCAAGUAUGCAUCCAGGAAAAUCAUAAAAUAAAUAGAAGAGUCGUUUUACACAAAAGUGGAUUUUCAUUUUGACAUAGGCUAAUUUUCAUUUUAGACUAAAAAAAGUUUGUUAUCAUACCUAAUUAAAUUUGGAAAAAUUCCGACUGCUUUUCAAUAACGAACUUUAAAAAAGCAAUUUCGUUUCUAGUCUUGGAUUUCCUAGAGAUUCUUUUGCUUGUUAUUUUCUAUAGGGUAUUACCGUCAAUUUUGAUCAAUGCUAUAUAAAUCAAUACAUUACAAAUUAUUUCAAAAUUUUUGAGAUAGUAGUAGAGUUUAAGUACAAUAUGGAAAGUACUUGCAAAGUUAAUAAUUAAAUAUGUAAUUCAGGCAUGGUUAUACUGUGGAAAAUAAUUGUCUAAAUUCAUAAGAAUAAUAAUGUCUACCUCAGUUCAUUUUAAUGAAACAAUUUGAAUCUUUCAUACUCCUUUUUAACAAAACAAUUCUUUUACAGAGAAUCUCACUUAUUUAAUUACCGAUGCCUCUCUCAUAUGUGAAAUGCUGAAUUGACAUCCAAUUUGUUUUUUUCCAUAGAAAAUAUUUAUUAUAGCACUGAUAAUAAUUAAUGACUCAGAAAGAGGCUCAAAGCUUUCAUUCCUGGCUCCACUGAAUAUUUUUAAACUUAAUCAAGGGCAACAAUAAUAGCUCCUUCACCUCUGAUCCAAAGUUUCUUAAUUUUUAGCUUUUAAGAUCUAAUUAUAAAAAAAUUGAUGGAAAAGAGUUUUAAAUGGCUUCUAAUUUAUUUUGACUUUCCAUUUUAGUAAGCAUUCUAGCAAGUCACUUUGAUAGUCUGAAAACUUUUUUACAUAUGUAAUUCAAUUUACUUUUUGGCAACAAAAUGGAUUCAACAGAAAUUAUAUUACAGUAUUAAUAGUUUGAACUGAAUAUUGUUUACUGUGUUUUCAACAGCAUACAAAGGUGUCAGAUAUUCCUUUAACCUAUUUGAUGAUUUCAAUUUUUCACUAUUCGAAGUAAAUAGUAAUUUGCACCUACAUAUAUCAUGAACAAUUUUCAUUAUGAUCAUGACCAUGCAUUUUCUGGAUAUACAUAUAGAUUUCCUUUACUUUUGAUAAAAAGUGUAGCUUAUUUUCAUCCAUAUUAAAUAAAAUCAAUUGUUUUCUCAUUUCUUCAUGACUAUACAAGUCAAUGAUAAAUUUAUAAAUAUGAUGAAUAUAUGGAUAAAUAAUCAUAUGGCCCAUUUUACUAAAACAGCUCUUUAUGCCAUUAGUUUCUGUCUCUUUCUGUCUUCUACCUCCCUGUCAUUCUUUCUCUCUCUCCUCCAAUUUUCCACUCAUAACAUUAAUUUAAUUUGAAGCAGUAUAUAUGAGAAUCCUAUCUGCAUUAAAAGUCAGGAGAUAGAUAUAAUAUUUACCUUUGACUGUGAUUUUCCUAUUUUGCCAGUUUGGAAAAUUUCCUUUCAUUAGUUUUUUGUCAUUGAAGUAGACAGGUUUUGAAUAUGUAUUAAUACUAAUUAUUAAUAAAAUAUCUUCUUAUAAUGUUAUAGUCUUCUUAUAUUUUUGUAUAGUAGAAAAUAAACUUUGUUAUAAUUAAAC
rnacentral:lncRNA from 1 species